rnacentral:rRNA from 1 species
UGCAGCUGGAUCAUCGU